rnacentral:lncRNA from 1 species
CUCAACAAAAGAAAAAAGAAAGCUUCCAAUCUCAUUUUAUCUCCAUUACUUUCUACAUCAAAAUUGGGUCCCAUAACCCGGUUCUUUGUCUAGAGGAUAGCAGUUGAGUACUAGUGGUGGUCUCGGGUAGAAUUGGUAAGAAGACAUCAAACCUUUUGAAAGCUUCAAAGGUAAUACUUCUUAAAACCCUAAUUUGAUUAGUUUAUGGUUACAUGUUAAUUGUGGCAAUUAGGGUAGAAAUUCGAUUCUUUUUCCGCUGUGCAUGACUUAGUUCUAUCAUGUGGUAUCAGAGCAUGCUUCAUUUUUACCCAAUUGCAUGUGGUGGGUUCAAAUUUAUUAGAUAAAUUUUGGUUUGAACUAAAAUGGAUAUAUUAUGAUUUUGGCUCUAGAUUAAGUGUUUUUGUUCUAAUUAUUGUAAUUAGCCUUGUUAAUGGCUUAUUUUUAUUGUUGCAAAAGUGUUUGUAAUUUUUAAAAAAAAUAAAAAAAGUCAUUAGAGUUGAAGCUAGGCUGUAAUUAGUUCAACCGGGUGAGAGAAUUGAAAAAAAUGAAGAAAAGAAGGUCACAGACCCGAAAACCCGGUUUUGACCCGCUUCGCGACCCGCACGCCCGCAUGCCCGCGCGCCUCCGCGCCCGCGCGCCCUCCUGCGCCCCGCGCCCCUCCUGCGCCGCGCGCCUCCUGCGCCGGCGCGCCCUCUGCGCGCCCGCGCGCCUGCAUGCGCCCGCGCGCCCCAUGUGUCCGCGCGCCGCAUGCGCCGCCGCGACCGCCGCGCCCCGGCGCCUGCCUUCGCAUGACCCGUGUGCGCCUGGGCCGGUUCAAGCCAAUAAAUUUGGUUUUUGGGCCGGUUCAAGCGGUUCGGUUGGUUUUUUAGCCGGUUCGAAAUUUUUGGGAGUGGUUCUGUACUACACCAAAUUAAUUAUGUAAUAAUUUAGCACUUAGCUUAAUUUAGGAGCCAAAAAUCAGUCCAUUUUAGGGUGUUUUUUUAUUUAUGCAUGUGAUGUAUGAUUAAAUUACUUUAAAUUUGUAUGUGCAUUUUGAAUGUCAUAUAGAUUUAAAAUCCCACCAUAGGUUAACAUGUUCAUGCAUUAAAAUGUAUGAUAUAAAGGUUAUAUUGUAUUGUAUGCAUGUUAAUUGAUUAAUAUGGAAAUUAAUUAAUAUGAUUAAUUAAUUAUUUAAUUAAUUAAGUUAUUCUUGAUUAAAUAUGAUUUAAUCAAAUUAAUUAAUUAUUGUUUGAUUUAAUUUAAUUAAAUAUGAUUUAAUUAAAGUUAAAUAAAUUAAAAUCCAUAUUAAUUGAUUGUUUUUAUUAUAUAUUGAUAAAAUGAUUGAUUAAGUUUAAAAUUUUUAUAAGUGUUAUAAAAUAAAUUAGACUUUUAAAAUCAAUAACAAAGAUUAAAUGCAUGCUCACUUAGGUUAAACAUAUCUUCCAUUUUUCAUAGAAAUAGGUCGAUAUCUUGUAAAACUGGUUACAAAAGGCUCACCUGGUUCAAUCUUGUCAACAAGUCAGAUAAGAUGACUAAGGUUGGAGGUUCUUAAGUUGACGGUUUACGGAACACCUCCUACCUGGAGAUCGUAAUCAGUUCUUGAGCCUAGUUAACCUAGUUUAUGAGCAUUCGUGAGAGGUGUGAGGUAAUAAAAAUGUUUUUCACCUAGACAUCAUAGGUUAAAAUCCUGUAUAAUGGUUAUACUUGGAUGUUUUAUCUAGACUUAAAGAUUUGUUUAAGUUAGCCUAAAUAUAAAUCUUGAAGUUUGGAUUACCCUAAUUUUUUCUCUAGAACACUUCAACUAGAGAAAAAUAAUGUAUUUUAGCUCUAGUGUCCCUAAGAGUUCACACCGUGAGGUCCAUGCAGGGCUUUGUGUGCCGUAGGAGGACGGCCUCCCUUCGGAGAGUGUUUGCAUGGAUCAAAAUCAAGGUGAAUAGGGAAGUAGUUCAUAGUAAGUGGGUGAGGGAUUUGUGACAGCACAUCCCCGGUCUCUUCCAUUAGGUCGCACCGUGAGAUUUCUAUAAUAUGCCUGCUUGUCUGCCCUGGAGCGACGUUCCCUUCGGAGGGUUGUAUUAUAGGAUUCGGAACACCGCGAACUCCAAAUUGGAUAGGAUUUCUUAGAUUAGUUUCAGAAAUGAUUCUAAUCUAUAAAAUCUGAAAAAUGGUGGGUAACACUUACAAGAAUUACUAAGUUGUUAGUAUAUUCUUGACUAAUAGCGAUAACUAAGUGCUAUAAAGAAUAAAGAGUUAUUCUUGAGAUAGCAUCUAGUCAAGAUUGUCUUGGUUCAAAGGAGGAAUAAUCAACUACCUUCGGAGAAGGUUGUUCUAAACCUUUGAAAUAUUGUUGCAAAAUACAAAUAAUGAAAGGGUACAUUAUUAGUAAUAAAUUAGAUUGUAUUUUUUAUGAUUAUAGUUUUCUUAAAAAGAAUAUGUUUUUUUCAGCAUGAAUAGCUCAAUAGUUCAACUUUUAGCUUCCGAAAAACUUAAUGGCGAUAAUUAUGCGGCUUGGAAAUCAAAUCUUAACACAAUACUAGUGGUUGACGAUUUAAGAUUUGUCUUAACUGAGGAAUGUCCUCAAACCCCUGCC